UACGGAGGAUGCGAGCGUUAUCCGGAUUUAUUGGGUUUAAAGGGUGCGUAGGCGGCUUUUUAAGUCAGCGGUGAAAUUUUGCAGCUUAACUGUAACAGUGCCGUAGAUACUGUGGAUCUGGAAUGCGGUUGGGGAAGACAGAAUUCCUGGUGUAGCGGUGGAAUGCGCAGAGAUCAGGAGGAAUACCGAAGGCGAAGGCAGUCUUCCAAGCCGUUAUUGACGCUCAACUGCGAAGGUGUGGGUAUCAAACAGGAUUAGAUACCCGUGUA
rnacentral:rRNA from 1 species